GUCCUUUUUAUCAGAAGCAAACUGAGUUGAAUUUCUGUGACCAGCAACCAAAACCAAAAUGUGUGCAUAUGCCUAGUCCAUACUUAAUAACGGGCCAGCAACAAGUGAUGCCAAGACUUAUUAAUGACGCCAGAUCCCUGACCCAGCAGAAGUGUGAGCACACAGAGUAAGUAAAACCUGCCACAGACCAGGAGUGAUCCACAAACCAUUCUUGGCAUUCAUUCAGUUUCAAAGAGAACACCAUGUAUGAAUGAGGCACUUCUGAGAUCCGUACUCUCCCCUUUAAAGACCUCCUCUUUUCAAGGAACUUCAAUUCUUCUGACCAAAUGCACUCCUGCCACUUGUUUGUACCAGAGCUGACCUUUGGCAGAAUGCUGAAGAAUAAGGAAAUAAGGCGAGGCAGGAACAAGCACG